GACGAACGCUGGCGGCGUGCUUAACACAUGCAAGUCGAACGGUGAAGCGCCUUCCUUUUUGGUGGGUGUGGAUGAGUGGCGAACGGGUGAGUAACACGUGAGUAACCUGCCCCCUUCUUCUGGAUAACCGCAUGAAAGUGUGGCUAAUACGGGAUAUUCUGGGUCUGUCGCAUGAUGGGUCUGGGAAAGAUAUUGUUUCGGUGGGGGAUGGGCUCGCGGCCUAUCAGCUUGUUGGUGGGGUGAUGGCCUACCAAGGCGGUGACGGGUAGCCGGCCUAAGAGGGUGGACGGUCACACUGGGACUGAGACACGGCCCAGACUCCUACGGGAGGCAGCAGUGGGGAAUAUUGCACAAUGGGCGCAAGCCUGAUGCAGCGACGCCGCGUGAGGGAUGGAGGCCUUCGGGUUGUGAACCUCUUUCGCCAGUGAAGCAGGCCUGCCUCGUUUGUGGGUGGGUUGACGGUAGCUGGAUAAGAAGCGCCGGCUAACUACGUG
rnacentral:rRNA from 1 species